GGAGGAUUGGCCGAGUGGUAAGGCACCGGCUUGCUAAGCCGUGGUCGGGGUCGAUCCCCGCGCGCGUUCGAUCCGCGCAUCCUCCG
rnacentral:tRNA from 1 species